AUACAUGCAAGUUGAGCGCUGAAGGUUGGUACUUGUACCGACUGGAUGAGCAGCGAACGGGUGAGUAACGCGUGGGGAAUCUGCCUUUGAGCGGGGGACAACAUUUGGAAACGAAUGCUAAUACCGCAUAAAAACUUUAAACACAAGUUUUAAGUUUGAAAGAUGCAAUUGCAUCACUCAAAGAUGAUCCCGCGUUGUAUUAGCUAGUUGGUGAGGUAAAGGCUCACCAAGGCGAUGAUACAUAGCCGACCUGAGAGGGUGAUCGGCCACAUUGGGACUGAGACACGGCCCAAACUCCUACGGGAGGCAGCAGUAGGGAAUCUUCGGCAAUGGACGAAAGUCUGACCGAGCAACGCCGCGUGAGUGAAGAAGGUUUUCGGAUCGUAAAACUCUGUUGGUAGAGAAGAACGUUGGUGAGAGUGGAAAGCUCAUCAAGUGACGGUAACUACCCAGAAAGGGACGGCUAACUACGUGCCAGCAGCCGCGGUAAUACGUAGGUCCCGAGCGUUGUCCGGAUUUAUUGGGCGUAAAGCGAGCGCAGGUGGUUUAUUAAGUCUGGUGUAAAAGGCAGUGGCUCAACCAUUGUAUGCAUUGGAAACUGGUAGACUUGAGUGCAGGAGAGGAGAGUGGAAUUCCAUGUGUAGCGGUGAAAUGCGUAGAUAUAUGGAGGAACACCGGUGGCGAAAGCGGCUCUCUGGCCUGUAACUGACACUGAGGCUCGAAAGC
rnacentral:rRNA from 1 species